CAGAAGCAAGAAUAGAACACAGCACAGCAGGUCUCUCUAGAGAAGAUGUCCCACAGAGAUGGGUUGAAAGAGAUUACUUGGACACAUACUCGCUCCAAAAUACAACAGAUGAAAAGGAGAAGGUAACAUGCCAUGAGUAGUCACUUUCCUGCUCAUCAGAAAGCUUGUUACCUAACAGCAGUUUUUCCAUGCUUGGUUAGAAGUUUGAUAUUUGCAGGAUAAAUUGUGCCCAGUAUUCGAUGACAGUGCCUGUACUGCAUAGAGAUAAGAAUCAUUACUAAUAGAAGUAAGUCGGCUUUGCUACUUUUAAUUCUUUUUGAAAAUUUAUAUUUUUUAUAACGGAAACAUAUGUUAAAGUAUAGCAUUAUCUUUAUUCUUAGGUAUUUAUAGAUGUUUAUUGCUUCCCA
rnacentral:lncRNA from 1 species